GAUGAACGCUCGCUACAGGCUUAACACAUGCAAGUCGAGGGGAAACGAUGAGAGAGCUUGCUCUCUUAGUCGUCGACCGGCGCACGGGUGAGUAACGCGUAUCCAACCUGCCUCUGACCAAGGGAUAACCCGUCGAAAGUCGGACUAAUACCUUAUGCAGCCGUCGGAAGUCAUCUGAUGACGACGAAAGAUUUCAUCGGUGAGAGAUGGGGAUGCGCCUGAUUAGCUUGUUGGCGGGGUAACGGCCCACCAAGGCGACGAUCAGUAGGGGUUCUGAGAGGAAGGUCCCCCACAUUGGAACUGAGACACGGUCCAAACUCCUACGGGAGGCAGCAGUGAGGAAUAUUGGUCAAUGGGCGUAAGCCUGAACCAGCCAAGUAGCGUGCAGGAUGACGGCCCUAUGGGUUGUAAACUGCUUUUAUGCGGGGAUAAAGUGAGGGACGUGUCCUUCAUUGCAGGUACCGCAUGAAUAAGGACCGGCUAAUUCCGUG
rnacentral:rRNA from 1 species